UCCGAGCUGCAUUCAUCACCAGCAAAACUCUGGACUUCCUCUUUUAAAAAACCAGACAUUAUAACCAACAAGAGUGUCAUCAUUUACACGUUUUGUAUUCUGUGCAGCAGAGCUGACCUUCAGGGAAAUAGCCGGCAUCCUCGUGAGCGAUGGAGGAAAUCUAUGCCAAUGUUGAAAAUGCCAAACCUGUCAACCCGAGACCUUCAACAGCGCAGACGACAGGCACCAGGAGCUCAGAGAGAUUUCCUGGAGCUGUUGUUCUCUGCCUGGGGCUACUCAGUGUUCUCCUGCUGGCUGGGCUCACCGGCCUCGGUGUCUACUAGAAAAUCUGUCCAGCAGAGUGGAGGAUGUUCAGCUGUGUCUGUUAUUUCCUCUCCACUCGGUCUGAUUCUUGGGAAAAAGGCAGGCAGGACUGCAGAGACAGAGGAGCAGAUCUGGUCGUCAUCAACACUUUAGAAGAACAGGAAUUCAUCACUCAGAUCAUUAGGAGUAACACCUGGAUCGGUUUGAAUGACAGGGACAAAGAGGGCACCUGGAUGUGGACUGAUGGGACUCCACUGACUGUUGCGUACUGGAGAGGCUGGCCUGAUAACUGGCGUGAAGAGGACUGUGUAGAAAUCUUAGCUGGCAAGAAGACAAGAGAAAACUGGAAUGAUUUGCGAUGUGAUACCUCUAAGCCAUGGAUCUGUGAGAAAAUGCCGUAGCAUUUAAACCUGUAGUUGGUAAAAUAACAUUUUGUCAUAUUUGCUGAAGCUGUCACUGUGUCCACACAGUCCACACAAUCAUGUUCCUCUGCCUUCUUGUACUGCGUCUAAUGCCAUUAUUGCAUGUAAACAAAACCAAGAAGAGUCUCUAAUGCAGCUGUCGGUCAUGUCAAUCACUGCUCGUGACCAGCGGUCAAAUUAGGCUGAUUAAAUAUGGAUCAAGAUUGUUUGACUGCAUUGCCUUUUUCUCACCUCAAAUGUUUUCUCAAUCAUAUUAACCCUAUAUAUAACCAUAACCCUAUCAUUUCAUUUAAUUUAUUUGGUGAAUUUGAUAAUUUUGAUGACUGGGAUGCAGAAGAGAGGUUAGAGAAUGAAAAGAAAAGAAAAGAAAAGAAAAGAAAAGAAAAGGGAGAAACGGCACAAGGAGUCGCGGGUCUACACCAAUCACAGCCUCAGGAGCACAGCUGUAGGUCAGCUCUCUGACGCCGGCCUGGAAACUCGUCAGAUCAUGACCGUCACGGGACAUCGGUGUGAGAGCAGCCUGCAGGCUUAUUGGGCCCCGUCAGCGCAGGAGAGACGAGACUGGAGCAACAUCUUGUCGUCUCCAAAUGUCCCAACAAGCAGUGCUCAAUCUGUCAAUCUCCGUCCUUCAAAUGCCACUGUGAUGGACAUACCCAUAUCACUUUCAAAUGUCACUAUUAAUGGUAAUGUAGGCCUAGUAUUUAAUUUUAAAUAAGAAGAAGAAGAAGAUUUAUCUAUAUUAAUUUAUUUAUUUAUAAAAACAUAAAAUAUGAGCACAUAUUUACAAGCACGCAGACAGACAACAAACAAGAACAUGAACGUAUGCAAGCAUACAUGGAUGCAUCUUAUUUAAAGUGCAUAGUGAUUCUAGUAUUUAGUGACAAAAAAAUAAAUAAAAAAUACCAAUUAACAGGCUAGUUAAAACAGAGGCAAAUAGAAAUGUCUUAAGUUUACUUUUAAAAGAGCUCAGUGUUGGCGCAUUUCUGACAUUGCUUGGAAGGGCAUUCCAUCUGCUAGGAGCACAGCAGCUAAAUGCUGCCUCUCCAGCUUUAGUGUGCACACGGGGAACAACGAGGAGACCAUUAGCUGAUGACCUGAGAGUUCUCAUUGGCUCAUAUGGCACAAGUAAUUCUUUAAUAUA